rnacentral:rRNA from 1 species
CCUACGGGUGGCAGCAGUCGAGAAUUUUUCUCAAUGGGGGCAACCCUGAAGGAGCGACGCCGCGUGGAGGAUGAAGGCUUUCGGGUUGUAAACUCCUGUCAUUUGAGAACUAGUAUCAGAAGAGGAAGGGACGGCUAACUCUGUGCCAGCAGCCGCGGUAAUACAGAGGUCCCAAGCGUUGUUCGGAUUCAUUGGGCGUAAAGGGUGCGUAGGUGGCGUCGUAAGUCGGGUGUGAAAUCUCGGGGCUUAACUCCGAAACUGCAUUCGAUACUGCGGUGCUUGAGGACUGGAGAGGAGACUGGAAUUUACGGUGUAGCAGUGAAAUGCGUAGAGAUCGUAAGGAAGACCAGUGGCGAAGGCGGGUCUCUGGACAGUCCUGACACUGAGGCACGAAGGCCAGGGGAGCAAACGGGAUUAGAUACCCUUGUAGUC